rnacentral:rRNA from 1 species
AACGAACGCUGGCGGCAUGCCUAACACAUGCAAGUCGAACGAAACCUCCGGGUCUUGUGGCGCAUGGGUGCGUAACGCGUGGGAACCUGCCCUUAGGUUCGGAAUACCUCCCCGACAGGGGUGAUAAUACCGGAUAAUGUCUUCGGACCAAAGAUUUAUCGCCUUUGGAUGGGCCCGCGUUGGAUUAGCUAGUUGGUAGGGUAAAAGCCUACCAAGGCGACGAUCCAUAGCUGGUCUGAGAGGAUGAUCAGCCACACUGGGACUGAGACACGGCCCAGACUCCUACGGGAGGCAGCAGUGGGGAAUAUUGGACAAUGGGGGAAGGCCUGAUCCAGCAAUGCCGCGUGAGUGAUGAAGGCCUUAGAGUUGUAAAGCUCUUUUACCCGGGAUGAUAAUGACAGUACCGGGAGAAUAAGCCCCGGCUAACUACGUG